GAGGCAGGAGAAUCGCUUGAGUCCGAGAGGUGGAGGUUGCAGAGAGCCGGGAUCUCGCCAUUGCACUCCAGCUUGGGCAACAAGAGCGAAACUCCGUCUCAAAAAAAAAAAAAA